rnacentral:rRNA from 1 species
GAUAAACGCUGGCGGCGUGCCUAAUACAUGCAAGUCGAGCGAACGGACGAGAAGCUUGCUUCUCUGAUGUUAGCGGCGGACGGGUGAGUAACACGUGGAUAACCUACCUAUAAGACUGGGAUAACUUCGGGAAACCGGAGCUAAUACCGGAUAAUAUUUUGAACCGCAUGGUUCAAAAGUGAAAGACGGUCUUGCUGUCACUUAUAGAUGGAUCCGCGCUGCAUUAGCUAGUUGGUAAGGUAACGGCUUACCAAGGCAACGAUGCAUAGCCGACCUGAGAGGGUGAUCGGCCACACUGGAACUGAGACACGGUCCAGACUCCUACGGGAGGCAGCAGUAGGGAAUCUUCCGCAAUGGGCGAAAGCCUGACGGAGCAACGCCGCGUGAGUGAUGAAGGUCUUCGGAUCGUAAAACUCUGUUAUUAGGGAAGAACAUAUGUGUAAGUAACUGUGCACAUCUUGACGGUACCUAAUCAGAAAGCCACGGCUAACUACGUGCCAGCAGCCGCGGUAAUACGUAGGUGGCAAGCGUUAUCCGGAAUUAUUGGGCGUAAAGCGCGCGUAGGCGGUUUUUUAAGUCUGAUGUGAAAGCCCACGGCUCAACCGUGGAGGGUCAUUGGAAACUGGAAAACUUGAGUGCAGAAGAGGAAAGUGGAAUUCCAUGUGUAGCGGUGAAAUGCGCAGAGAUAUGGAGGAACACCAGUGGCGAAGGCGACUUUCUGGUCUGUAACUGACGCUGAUGUGCGAAAGCGUGGGGAUCAAACAGGAUUAGAUACCCUGGUAGUCCACGCCGUAAACGAUGAGUGCUAAGUGUUAGGGGGUUUCCGCCCCUUAGUGCUGCAGCUAACGCAUUAAGCACUCCGCCUGGGGAGUACGACCGCAAGGUUGAAACUCAAAGGAAUUGACGGGGACCCGCACAAGCGGUGGAGCAUGUGGUUUAAUUCGAAGCAACGCGAAGAACCUUACCAAAUCUUGACAUCCUUUGACAACUCUAGAGAUAGAGCCUUCCCCUUCGGGGGACAAAGUGACAGGUGGUGCAUGGUUGUCGUCAGCUCGUGUCGUGAGAUGUUGGGUUAAGUCCCGCAACGAGCGCAACCCUUAAGCUUAGUUGCCAUCAUUAAGUUGGGCACUCUAAGUUGACUGCCGGUGACAAACCGGAGGAAGGUGGGGAUGACGUCAAAUCAUCAUGCCCCUUAUGAUUUGGGCUACACACGUGCUACAAUGGACAAUACAAAGGGCAGCGAAACCGCGAGGUCAAGCAAAUCCCAUAAAGUUGUUCUCAGUUCGGAUUGUAGUCUGCAACUCGACUACAUGAAGCUGGAAUCGCUAGUAAUCGUAGAUCAGCAUGCUACGGUGAAUACGUUCCCGGGUCU